GUACGGUGUGAGCGUUAAUCGGAAUUACUGGGCGUAAAGCGUGCGCCGGCGGUUCUGAAAGUCAGCUGUGAAAGCCCCGGGCUUAACCUGGGAAUGGCGGUUGAAACUACAGGACUAGAAUCUGGCAGAGGGGGGUGGAAUUCCACGUGUAGCAGUGAAAUGCGUAGAGAUGUGGAGGAACACCGAUGGCGAAGGCAGCCCCCUGGGCUGAGAUUGACGCUCAGGCACGAAAGCGUGGGGAGCAAACAGGAUUAGAUACCCUGGUGGUCCACGCCCUAAACGAUGUCAACUAGGUGUUGGGAGCGCAAGUUCUUGGUACCCCAGCUAACGCGUGAAGUUGACCGCCUGGGGAGUACGGUCGCCAGAUUAAA
rnacentral:rRNA from 1 species